UAAAUUGUACAAUACCUGUACUAUUUGGGGUCCCGAUGGAACUUUGAUAGCAAAACACCGAAAGGUACAUCUAUUCGACAUCGACAUUCCUAAUAAGAUUACUUUUCGAGAGAGUGAUUCACUCAGUCCUGGUAACUCCCUAACGACGUUCGAUGUGAAGGGCUGCAAAAUAGGUAUUGGCAUUUGCUAUGAUAUUAGAUUCGAGGAAAUGGCACGCAUUUAUCGGAACAAAGGUACAGUAACUUAAUCGAUCAAUACUUAACUAGCAAAAAAUUAAAUAUCUUUCUUAAAUAUAUUCUAUAUAAAAUUAAUAUAAUCUGUAACUCUGUAUAAAAAGAAGCUUAAUUUAAAAAACCAGUAUAUUUGCUGAAAAUGAAACAAAUAAAAGAAUUAAAAGCACAAUAAGAGGACUGUCCUCGCAUAUUCAGAAAUGAUGGAAUGUGAAUCGUGCAACUACGAAGUUAAUUGGUAUUCGGUGGCUUCAUAUUUCCUGCUUCUCUGGGUUAGGUUGCCAAAUGCUGAUAUAUCCAGCGGCAUUCAAUAUGACCACUGGACCACUGCACUGGUCAUUACUUCAGCGUUUCAGAGCGAAUGAUAAUCAAUUAUACGUUGCCUGCAUAUCACCGGCUCGUGUUCCUUAAGCAAGUUACGUCGCAUGGGGACAUACACAGUUGACCAAUCCCUGGGGAAAGAUUCUUUACGAUUUGGAAACUCAAGAGAAUAUGGCAGUCACCGAUAUCGAUCUAAAAGUUGUUGAGGAAGUAAGGGCUCAGAUACCUACAUUUUCUCAGAGACGUACAGAUUUGUACGACACUGUCUGUAAGAAGGAGUAACUCUACACUAAAACAGAAAAUGUUUUUUUAUAAUAUUUCUACUACGAUAUCCUUUUUUUGUGAAUUAUUACUAAUUUCUUAUCAUUUGUACUAAAUGAAUGACUCAAUUAAGAAAACCAAAACGUUAUAAAUAAUAAUCUGUAUAUCUUGUGUAUCAACAUGUAAUUGGAUAUUAUAAUAAUAUAGGAUAAUAAUAUAGGAGAAUAAUAAUAUAGAAAAUAAUACAUGCUUUUAAACACCUUUAAUAUCGAUCACAUAAAUUGUAAUAAUUCACAAUGAUCACGCAUACAUAAAAGACCCUUUGAUAGUAAAAUUUACGAUCAAAACGCAAUUACGUAUCGUUUAACAACAUUUAAUUUAUAACACCUUUUAAACAUUUAGACAGAUUAACACAUAACACUUCUUAUAUAUAAACAUCAAUUCGAAGUUAUCAGCUUGGAGAAAUUGGUCGAUUAAUACCUGUAGAUUGUCUGUCUCGAUGAAAGCCUUAAAGAGAGCAAAAACAUGAUAAUGCCGCUAAUAUAAUAUUCCUUCUUUCUUGUAUCUGUCUGCCUCUCAGGUCGUUUUACUAAUUACAAUAAGUAAUUUCGACUUCUUUGCGCUCUCUUUUAACGCAUUCGAGACCGAAAGAAAUUCAUAUCAGUCAGUAGGCAAGGGUAUAAUAUACAUAUUUUAUAUAUAACUUAUGUAGUAAUGUAUAGAUCAUGUUAAUUUCAUAUUUUUUUCAAUAUAGAAUUAUUAUAUAUAUAUAUAUAUAUAU